ensembl:lncRNA PCBP1-AS1 PCBP1 antisense RNA 1
AAUUCCGGCGAAUCCGGUCCCGCCGUGCAUCAUGGCAAAGUGAGACUGUUGUCUUGCCACCUGGUUCAGCUUGGCCAGAUCGAGCGGAGAAAUGAGGAAGACAAACAUAAAGAUGAAGUGCUUAAUUCAAGGUCACACAAUGUCGGGGAUGGACCUCCAGAUUUCCUUACUGGUGAGACGUGGUCUUGUAACACAGUGGUUAAGAAUGUGACUUUGGAGCCAGCCUGCUAGGGGCUGAAUUCUGACUCAGCCAUUUACUAACUGUGUGACCUUAGGGAGGAGGACCUGGUUGAUAGAAGAAUUUAUCUCGUAGUCUUAACAUCCACUGUAAUUCCAAACUUUGAGGACGAUAGAGAUCAGUGGGCUUUGACUGCCCAGCAUGCAGUCUCCAUUCUUAGGUGGGUUCCCAAGCCUGUAAAAUGUAAGCCUUAUGCUGCUGAGGGCCAUCUUGCCACCCUGAGGGAAACGCUGCCUGAGAAUGAAACAAGCAUAAGUAAAAGCUGAGCUGUGAGAUGGAGCAAGAUGAAGGCCACAUGACAUCUUUGGAGCACCUGGAUCUAACUGUGCCUUAAGCUAGUCUAACCCUGAACAUUUCAUCAUUUCAUUGACAUGAGCCCAGGUUUUCUUUUUUUUUGGAUGGAGUCUUGCUCUGUCGCCCAGGCUGGAGUGCAGUAGCUCAAUCUCGGCUCACUGCAAGCUCCACCUCCCGGGUUCACGCCAUUCUCCUGCCUUAGCCUCCCAAGUAGCUGGGACAACAGGCGCCCACCACCACUCCCAGCUAAUUUUUUGUAUUUUUAGUAGAGACGGGGUUUUACCAUGUUAGCCGGGAUGGUCUUGAUCUCCUGACCUCAUGAUCCGCCCGCCUCGGCCUCCCAAAGUGCUGGGAUUACAGGUGUGAGCCACUGCACCCAGCCCUCAGGUUUUCCCUUUUUUUACCCCUCCUUUUGAAAAUUUGAUGUGGAAUUUUGCCACCUGCAGCCAGAAGAGUUUUAACUAAUCAGUGCCAUAAAUUUUAUAUAGUUCUCCUUGCAAAAUGUGGAUCAGCCUUUCUCAGCAAAUCCUUUGUCAUAAAGUGCUGAAUUGUAAGUUUGUCAUGAGAAUCACAUGAGAUCAUGCAUGUGAAGAACCUGGCAUUAUCCUCCUCAUAGAAAAAAACCAGUAAAUAUUAACUACAGGAAGCAAGGAAGGAGUGGGGUGAGGGGAAGAAGAAGGGGUACUGAUUUAAAAGAACCCUGGAGUCCUAAGGAUAAUCUAGGAACCCUCAGACCCAAUCCGAUACCCCUAUUCUAAAUGCUCCUAGUGCCCUGUACCUUCCCCUCAUAAGCCUUCAUUAUCAUUGUAAUGAUAUGUUUAUGUAAUAUUUUGAUUAAUGUCUCUCCUUCACUGACCUAGCAGUUCUAGCAGGGCAGUGAUUUUGCUGUGUUGCAUCCCCAGCACCUAGUCUGGUAUGUGGCAUUCAGCAUAUGUUUAUUGAAUGAAUGGCCAUGUGGUUAUUCAGAUCCUCCUUGAUUAUUGGGGUUAGGAUUGUGGCAGAAGUGGCAAAAUCAGGGAGAGUAGUCCCUGUCCCCUCUGUAUCUUAUACACUGCCCACACUCCCAACACACAUACACAUACAGAGAAUUUUGUCUCAAUUAGAUAAUUAACUUCUGCUUGGUUGUAAACCAAACCACUGGUUCUUAAACUUUCAUUGGAUCAUUUUAUUGAAGAAUUAAAUAGUGUGGUUCUGGCCUAAUGUCUGGAAAGCCUUGCAGAGGAGUGGAUUAGGUCUUUGUGAUAAACAGGCAGCCUUCCCUGCUCCUGUGUCUUUAUAAAAUCUAUUUAACUGGAGUAGUCCACCCUCCCUCAGGCUCUUACAGGAAUAUGUUGGAGGCUGUAGGAAGGUGGGAAACCGAGAGGGAAAGGACUGGGCCGCUGGAGACUUCACUCAUUCCCUAGCAAGAAACAAAAGCAGUAAAAGGUGGCCCGAGGACAACCUGAAGCUCACUCCUUCAGCACUUUUGGCUGGAGGUCACUUGUUGGAGCCCCACUCAGAGCUCAGCACACCACCCCACCAGCAGCCUCCUCCUCCCAGCUGAGGCUGCAUUUCAUCCCUUCCCCCAGCCUGCUUUCCCUGAGAUAGGGGAGUGUUUCCCAGGGCCCAUGUGACUUCCACUGGCAAGUGACGAUUACCAAUGGUUUACUAGUCAGUGAAACUACCAAAGGCUUUUGUGCUGUAGUAAUCCUUUUCCUGUUUAAAACUCUGGGGAUUUUCUAAUGUUGCCAAUAGUUUUUCAAGUCAGCAAUUACUGUGUGGAUUAUGUAAUGGCUCGGUAUUA